rnacentral:lncRNA from 1 species
AGGUCAGCCCUCAGCCGACCCAGACUCCUUUCCUCUUCCUUUGUCUUUUGUUUUCUUGGUCUGGACCACUGUCAUUAAAGCCAUUCUAGACUGUAACUAGACUAUAACUGUCAUUCUAGUUUGUAACACAAAAUAGGACUGUGCUAUGCUGGAGAGAAAUCUAGGGAAAGGUCCUGACCAAAACUGGCAGCCAAGAAAAAGGCAGUCUUAAAAGGCUGAGUCCCUUGUGUGCAGCCCAUGUGCCAGGAAAGGGGAUCAAGUUUCCUCAACUGAAAAUGUGCUGUGUUCCUUGGUACUUUGGCUGUCCAGUGGAGGAGAUGAGUAUUCAGAGAAGAUAGAGAGGGUGACUUCUGCAGUCGUAACAUGCUGUCAACACAUGCUGUUCCUACUUGGAUGCCCUUAGUGUUCUCUAAUGGAAAGCUUUCAAGGCCAUCUCCAAAAGUGUCUGCUUUCAUUUUACUUAUCUGAACUGGCUGUUUCCAGUGAACUGUGGCCUGUUUGUAGUCAGGGACCAUUCAAUAGUUUAUUCCCUCUAAAAGCUUUGAGUAUUCCCAUCGUUCAGGGAUUAGCAUGUAAGUCCUGGGAAAUGGUAUUUUAAACAAGCUCAACUUGACCAUGGUCUCAACAAAAGCCAUCAGGACGCAGACAGUCACUUUAAGGAGUCAUCAAAGACAGGUACUCUGGAGAGUCCCUUCCCUGGGGCUCCUGGGCAUGAAUGGAGCUCCGAGCCUGAAGCUUUUACCCUCUGCCAACUGUGCUUUAGAGCCUACCCAUCACUUCAUCUCCUCAUAAAGAUCUUAAAGCACUCCUUAAAGAACAAAUGGAUGGUUCUUACCAUCAAGUACCUCUCUCUUACCACUCCAAAUCAAGUUUGGUUUUUGACCUAUAUUAAAAGACUUUUGGAAGUAUUUUUUGUAUUUUAUAAUUAUGGAAUAUUUAUAACUGAUUUUUUGAGAUAAAAUUCCCAUUUAAUGUAUAGGCAGUUCUGAUUUUAGUAUAUUUGCUAUAUUAUACAGUGGUCCAUACUAUCAAAGAACAGAACAAUUUUGUCACCCCAAAAAGAAACCUCAUCUGUGUUCAGCCUUGAUAUCUCCUCUGACAACCACUUACAACCCUGUGGUAUAACCAUUUAUCUGUUUGCCUGUUGUAAAUAUUUAAAUCAGUGAAAUCGUGUGGGAUAUAUCUGUUUAUGUUUGGCUUCUUUCAUUUUCAUCAUGUUUUUAGAGUUUUUGUCCAUGUCACAGCAUAUAAUAGUACUUUUUUUAUGACCAUAUAAUAUUCUGUGAUGCGGAUAUACAUACAUUUACCCAGUGCUCAGUUGUCAGGUGAGAGUUAUUUCUGCUCUGAGGCUAGUUUGUACAACGGUGUCAUCAACAUCCAUGUGCAUGCUCUUGUGUGGCAUGUCUUCAGUUUAGCUGUAUACACUGAUGUUGAAUUGCUGGGUUAUGAUUAACCUUUUGAGAAACAGCCAAGCUGUUUCCUGCAGCAGCUGCACCGUUUCACACAGUCACUGGCGGCAUGUAGGCACUCCACAGACAGAGCUCAUACCCAGUUGUCAUCGUAGGUGCUCACAUGUGCAGUGUUCCACAGCCUGAUCUAUCACAUGCUCGUGCCCAGCGAGUGACGCUGUUUGGGGAGGUUAUAAAGAAGCUUUAGGGGUUGUAGCUAACUGAAAGUAGGUUGGCAGGCAGAAAGAUCCUGUGGGGCUGUCCUUCCCAUCGCACUUCUGUCUCCUGCUUCCCAGCCACCAGGCUGUGAAUUGUACUGCUCUGGCAUGUCCUCUGAACCAUAUUGGAAUUAGCUCUCUAAAACUGUGAGACAAAGAUAUAAUCCCUCCAUUUAAUUGUUGUCAGAUAUUUUUGUAACCAUUGUGUAGAAGUAAAUAACACAAAAUACUGAUCACAAGAAGUGGGAUUGUCGCUGUAACUAAGCCAGGUGAUGUGGUGCUUACACUGGUUGCAGAAGCAGUUUGGAAAAGACUGGAGAAGCUGUCACAGGAGCUGUCACAGUGAUGCAAGCAAAGCUUAAUAGACAAUUAUGAGGUCAUUCAGAAGACCACAGCACCACCCCGAGUGUGGACAGCAGAGGCCAGGCUCAUGAGGUUUCAGAAGGGAACUGAACAAAGACUAUGCUUCUUAUGUCCUGGCAAAGAAUUUAUCUACAUUUGCAUUGAGCCUGUGUCCUGUGCUGAAUUGAAAAAAUGAUGGACUAGUGAAGUAGGAAAUUUUAAGACAGCGUGAUAAUGUCAUAUAGUUAUUGGUGGUUGUUUCUAGCCAAGCUUAGUAGUAAGGAUCAGGAAUAAGAGGCUCAGAAACAGCAGGAAUUAAAAAAAC